AUUGAACGCUGGCGGCAGGCCUAACACAUGCAAGUCGAACGGUAACAGGAAGAAGCUUGCUUCUUUGCUGACGAGUGGCGGACGGGUGAGUAAUGUCUGGGAAACUGCCUGAUGGAGGGGGAUAACUACUGGAAACGGUAGCUAAUACCGCAUAACGUCGCAAGACCAAAGAGGGGGACCUUCGGGCCUCUUGCCAUCGGAUGUGCCCAGAUGGGAUUAGCUAGUAGGUGGGGUAACGGCUCACCUAGGCGACGAUCCCUAGCUGGUCUGAGAGGAUGACCAGCCACACUGGAACUGAGACACGGUCCAGACUCCUACGGGAGGCAGCAGUGGGGAAUAUUGCACAAUGGGUGGAAGCCUGAUGCAGCAACGCCGUGUGCGGGAUGACGGCCUUCGGGUUGUAAACCGCUUUCGCUCAUGACGAAGCUUUGUGUGACGGUAGUGGGUAAAGAAGCACCGGCUAACUACGUG
rnacentral:rRNA from 1 species